ACAAGACAUGUGCUCGACUACUCGACACUGGCUGCAGAGAUAGUAACAGCUAUCUACUCUCCAUACCAAAAUACAACAAAUUAAAACUUAGAAGAGUCUGCAAAAGCUCAGAGUUAGCAUGUAAAUAUCAUACAAUAAUUAUCCAUUACCAGCCGACAUUAUCAGAAUCUGUUUACAGAAGAGAUGGAAAUGGUUCACAUAGUCAUAUACAAAUACCAAUUUCCCACCUGAAAGAGGAU